rnacentral:misc_RNA from 1 species
GAUGAAGAACGCAGCGAAAUGCGAUAAGUAGUGUGAAUUGCAGAAUUCAGUGAAUCAUCGAAUCUUUGAACGCACAUUGCGCCCCUUGGUAUUCCAUGGGGCAUGCCUGUUCGAGCGUCAUUUGUACCUUCAAGCUUUGCUUGGUGUUGGGUGUUUGUCCCUCGGGACUCGCCUUAAAGUCAUUGGCAGCCAGUGUUUUGGUUUUGAAGCGCAGCACAAGUCGCGAUUCAAGGCUAUCCGCCCGCUUCCACAAGCCUUUUUAACUUUUGACCUCGGAUCAGGUAGGGAUACCCGCUGAACUUAAGCAUAUCAAUAAGCGGAGGA